CGCGAUUGUGAUAAACAACCUUCACUAUUCAUGAAUAUAAACUUGUAAUGAUUAGGUGAAACUCAUUUAUAUUCUAGCAUCUAAUUCAUGCAUGAAAACUAAGUAUGCUUCCUUAAUAAACAUACAAGAAUCAGUUAUGAAUAAAAUAGAUAAUUGAAUUGCAAUCACAACUUAUCAAAUCACAAUUGGAAGAAAUCAAUUCAAAUCUCAAGCAUGUUCAUAGCUUCAAACUUCCCCCUAACUAAAUAGGGGUUUAGCCACUCAUAAUUGCAACAAAAUUAGAAAAUAACAAAGUAGACACUGAAAGUAAGAACGAAGUACACCUAAAAUGCUCCAAAGUUCCAAGCUUGAAACGCCAAGGACCUUUGUUUUCACCACCUUGUUGUAGCACAAGUGUCUAGGAUGUGUAUGGAUAUAUGGAUGGAAUGGAUUUGCACGGCUAAGAGAUGAAAGUGUAUGGAUUGGUGAGAUGUGAAAAUGUAGUGUCUUUGGAUGGAGAUGGAAUCCAAAUUAUGGUGAAGGGUGGAUGUAUUUAUAGGCUAGGGAGAGGAGUAUGGAGUUGUAAUGAGUGGAUGUAAUGGGUGUAGUGGGUGAAUGUUUGGUAAUGAGUGGAUGAAUGUUUGGUAAUGAGUGGAUGUAAUGGGUGUAGUGGGUGGAUGUAAUGGGUGUAGUGGAUGUAAUGGGUGUAGUGGGUGGAUGUUUGGUAAUGAGUGGAUGUAAUAGGUGUAGUGGAUGAAUGUUUGGUAAUGAGUAGUGUUUGGUAAUAAGUGGAUGUAAUGGGUGUAGUGGGUUGUGGUAAUGAUUGGAUGUAAUGGGUGUAGUGGGUGGAUGUUUGGAGAAUGGAUGUGUUGGGUGAAAUGAGUGGAUAUAGUGGUAGGUGAAUGUGUUGGGUGAAAUGAGUGGAUGUAGUGGUAGGUGAAUGGAUGUGUUGGGUGAAAUGAGUGUGCUAAAAUGGUUAUUUAUUGGGAGAGGAUGAUGCACAAACUUCAAAUUUCGUCCAUUCCUUUUACUCCAAGCAUAUGUCAUCCAUUCCAUGCUCCAAAAUGCUCCAAAAUGCACUUCUUUGCCACAUUAACCUUUUGGACCUACAAACACACGA
rnacentral:lncRNA from 1 species